GAGGAAUAUUGGUCAAUGGGCGCGAGCCUGAACCAGCCAAGUAGCGUGAAGGAUGACUGCCCUAUGGGUUGUAAACUUCUUUUAUAAGGGAAUAAAGUGAGGCACGUGUGCCUUAUUGUAUGUACCUUAGGAAUAAGCAUCGGCUAACUCCGUGCCAGCAGCCGCGGUAAUACGGAGGAUGCAAGCGGUUAUCCGGAUUUAUUGGGUUUAAAGGGAGCGUAGGCGGACUAUUAAGUCAGCUGUGAAAGUUUACGGCUCAACCGUGAAAUUGCAGUUGAAACUGGUCGUCUUGAGUGCAAUAAAGGUUGGGGGAAUUCCUUGUUUAGCGGUUGAAUUCUUAGAUAACACGAAAAAAGCCAAAUGGGAAGGCAGCUCACUGGAGUGUAACUGACGCUGAUGCUCGAAAGUGUGGGUAUCAAACA
rnacentral:rRNA from 1 species